UCUCUCCCUCUGCUCAUCAAAUAACCUCUCCCUUUCUCGCAUGGCUUUCUCCAUUGCCUCCCGCCUACUCACCAGAUUAGCCUCAAAAUUGCUUCUCUGUGAUUCAAAGUUUCGCACCAUUUGAUCAUGCUCCAUUUCAGCAUUUUCGGAUAAAACAAGCUGCUCACGCUUCUUUCUCACUUCAAAUGAUUCUUUUUCAAGUCUAACAGCCUCCAACUCCCUCUGAAUGUACUCCUUCAUUGCAUUUUCGUCUUUCUUCAGCCUUUCCUGUUCAUUGCACUGCAAC
rnacentral:misc_RNA from 1 species